UUCCGGUUGAUCCUGCCGGAGGCUACCGCUAUUGGAGUUCGAUUAAGCCAUGCGAGUCUAGAGGCCUAGCCUCGGCGUACCGCUCAGUAACACGUGGGUAACCUACCCUAUGCUGGGGAAUAAGCUCGGGAAACUGAGAAUAAUACCCCAUAGUCCACUACGCCUGGAACGGUGAGUGGAUCAAAGCUCCGGCGGCAUAGGAUGGGCCUGCGGCGUAUCAGGUUGUAGGGGGUGUAAUGUACCCUCUAGCCAUCCACGCGUACGGGUGUUGGGAGACAUUGCCCGGAGAUGGAUUCUGAGACACGAAUCCAGACCCUACGGGGUGCAGCAGGCGCGAAAACUUGGCAAUGCGAGAAAUCGUGACCAGGGAACUCCAAGUGGCAGGGGUAAGACCCUGUCUUUUUCCGACUCUAAAUAGGUCGGCGAAUAAGGGGUGGGUAAGGACGGUGCCAGCCGCCGCGGUAAUACCGGCGCCUCAAGUGGUAGUCGCUUUUAUUGGGCCUAAAACGUCCGUAGCCGGUCUGGUACAUUCGUGGGUAAAUCAACUCGCUUAACGAGUUGAAUUCUGCGAGGACGGCCAGACUUGGGACCGGGAGAGGUGUGGGGUACUCUCAGGGUAGGGGUAAAAUCCUGUCAUCCUGAGAGGACCACCUGUUGCGAGGGCUCCACACUAGAACGGAUCCGACGGUCAGGGACGAAGCCUAGGGGCACGAACCGGAUUAGAUACCCGGGUAGUCCUAGGUGUAAACGCUGUGGACUUGAUGUUGGGGACGCUCCGAGCGUUCUCAGUGUCGAAGCGAAGGUGAUAAGUCCACUGCCUGGGGAGUACGGUCGCAAGGCUGAAACUUAAAGGAAUUGGCGGGGGAGCACCGCAACCUGAGGAUUGUGCGGUUUAAUUGGAUCAACGCCGGA
rnacentral:rRNA from 1 species